rnacentral:rRNA from 1 species
UACGUAGGGCGCAAGCGUUGUCCGGAAUUAUUGGGCGUAAAGAGCUCGUAGGCGGCUUGUCACGUCGGAUGUGAAAGCCCGGGGCUUAACCCCGGGUCUGCAUUCGAUACGGGCUAGCUAGAGUGUGGUAGGGGAGAUCGGAAUUCCUGGUGUAGCGGUGAAAUGCGUAGAGAUCGGGAGGAACACCAGUGGCGAAGGCGGCCGGCUGGGGGUGACCUGACGCUGAGGCGCGAAAGCGUGGGGAGCGAACCGG